CGAAGAGUUAUUCCAUGGGGGCUAACUUAGCUUCCCGCCCAGAGCCACGAGCUGCUGGCUUUCUUUCCCUUUUCGGCAGCCAUCGAGUGCGGUUUAGUUCAAUUUGGCCUUGUGUAAAGUGACGGGUAGAAUUUCCGGAUUAGAUAUAGCGCUAAAUCCUGUUUACGGGUUUGGCGCUUAGUAUCCGAUAUUGGAUCCGGCCAUUGCUGUAGAGGGAACAAUUCAUCAAGACACCCCAAAAGAAGAGCGAAGUCAUCCGACGGGGGAGGGAAAUUAUCGCCGCAUAAGGGGUCUCAAAGGCCUAAGAGUUCCCCGAGAUAAUUAUUUAAUCAGCCUAAGUCGCUGGGAGCGGAGCUAGGAUAAAGAGAGGGCAAAAGAGUCAAAAAGAACUCGAGAUGUAACACCUGCCCAAAUUGCACAUAAUAUUUAUAUUCCCUCUUCAUCAUCUUCGUUAUCUCCCGUCUGCGAGCGAAACUUAGCGAGGCUCAGCUUGGUAGGCAGUUUUUCGGCGCGCUGAUCUAGGU